AUUGAACGCUGGCGGCAUGCUUUACACAUGCAAGUCGAACGGUAACAGGCCGCAAGGUGCUGACGAGUGGCGAACGGGUGAGUAAUGCAUCGGAACGUGCCCAGUCGUGGGGGAUAACUACUCGAAAGAGUAGCUAAUACCGCAUACGAUCUAUGGAUGAAAGCGGGGGACCGUAAGGCCUCGCGCGAUUGGAGCGGCCGAUGUCAGAUUAGGUAGUUGGUGGGGUAAAGGCUCACCAAGCCAACGAUCUGUAGCUGGUCCGAGAGGACGACCAGCCACACUGGGACUGAGACACGGCCCAGACUCCUACGGGAGGCAGCAGUGGGGAAUUUUGGACAAUGGGCGCAAGCCUGAUCCAGCAAUGCCGCGUGCAGGAAGAAGGCCUUCGGGUUGUAAACUGCUUUUGUACGGAACGAAACGGCUCUGGUUAAUACCCGGGGCUAAUGACGGUACCGUAAGAAUAAGCACCGGCUAACUACGUG
rnacentral:rRNA from 1 species